rnacentral:rRNA from 1 species
GACGAACGCUGGCGGCGUGCUUAACACAUGCAAGUCGAACGAUGAACCCGGAGCUUGCUCCGGUGGAUUAGUGGCGAACGGGUGAGUAACACGUGAGUAACCUGCCCUUGACUCUGGGAUAACUGCUAGAAAUGGUAGCUAAUACCGGAUACGACCCUCGGAGGCAUCUCCAGGGGGUGGAAAGAAUUUCGGUCAAGGAUGGACUCGCGGCCUAUCAGCUAGUUGGUGAGGUAAUGGCUCACCAAGGCGACGACGGGUAGCCGACCGGAGAGGGUGACCGGACACACUGGAACUGAGACACGGUCCAGACUCCGACGUGAGGCAGCAGUGGGAAAUAUUGCACAAUGGGCGCAAGCCUGAUGCAGCGACGCCGCGUGAGGGAUGAAGGUCUUCGGAUUGUAAACCUCUUUCAGUAGGGACGAAGCGAAAGUGACGGUACCUAAAGAAGAAGCACCGGCUAACUACGUGCCAGCAGCCGCGGUAA